rnacentral:rRNA from 1 species
AGUGAACGCUGGCGGUAGGCCUAACACAUGCAAGUCGAACGGCAGCACAGUAAGAGCUUGCUCUUACGGGUGGCGAGUGGCGGACGGGUGAGGAAUACAUCGGAAUCUACUUUUUCGUGGGGGAUAACGUAGGGAAACUUACGCUAAUACCGCAUGCGACCUACGGGUGAAAGCAGGGGAUCUUCGGACCUUGCGCGAUUGAAUGAGCCGAUGUCGGAUUAGCUAGUUGGCGGGGUAAAGGCCCACCAAGGCGACGAUCCGUAGCUGGUCUGAGAGGAUGAUCAGCCACACUGGAACUGAGACACGGUCCAGACUCCUACGGGAGGCAGCAGUGGGGAAUAUUGGACAAUGGGCGCAAGCCUGAUCCAGCCACACCGCGUGGGCGAAGAAGGCCUUCGGGUUGUAAAGCCCUUUUGUUGGGAAAGAAAAGCAGCAGGUUAAUACCCCGCUGUUCUGACGGUACCCAAAGAAUAAGCACCGGCUAACUUCGU